AGAGGACAAUACCGGCUAGCGGUGGGUUUCGGCGGUUACGAAUGGUAUCAGAGCUAGACACCAAGUAGUGUGUCAGCGAGACACUGAGUCCCAAGGGGGUGGACACCGGGCGGUGCAUAGAGAGGACACUAGAGCUAGAAGGGGGUAGAUUGUGAGAUCCCACGUCGGUUGGAGAGCGAAUCGAAUAUUGUUUACAAGUAGAAACCUCCCCAAUAGAUACAUGUUUUCUUAAAUGAUAGAGACCCAAAUUAACGAAAGCCAAAGGGACAAUUCCAAAAUAGCAUUUAAACCUUUAAAACUCAAAGACUCUCAUACAAAUUUCAUACUAUACUAAUCGUCUCUGUUUGUUUGUCAAUAUCCAUUGAUUUCUGUAAUACAUUCGGAUUUUGUUAUGAACUGAAGUUGCAGGAAAUGAGGAUUUGAAUGUCUACUUCUACGACUACGAGUUCUAUGAUUCGACACGAGCUAAACAUACUUGUGCGAACUAGCUACAGAUUCUCUCUAAGACAACUUCAGCAGAUAGUUUUUUGCUUAGAUUUGGACAUGGAUCGCCUCCGAAGAUGCUCGUUGGUACGGUUGCCAGGCAUCUCUGUCGACCAACACAUAGCUGGAAAAGACGGUAUAAAUUAGGAACUUAGUAUUGUAGUUUGAAGUUUUGAUCUUGUCGAUUACAGAUCAAUCAUCAAGACAAUAUUUGAAAAGGUUCCUUGCUGAAGAUUUCCACAAGCUCCACUUGGAGUUCCAAAGCUGACAAAUUUGAUAGCUGAAAUGAACUGCCUAGCUGCACAAUGCAGGGCGAUACUCAGAUGCCUCGGUACAAAUGCUUGUAAUUGAUCUCUUUACAAGAGUGAUCCCUGAAGGAUUCCCGCCCAUCUCCUCAAAAACCACAAUUAAAUUUCUUGAUGGCAUCAACCAAGAUCGAGGAACGUGGUACCUAAAUGAUUAACAUAUCAAAUAAAACGCAGAAUUUAGUGUUCGUCCUAUGUCCAAUGUUUAGCAUCUGUAAAUGGUAGAUGUAAAGAACUUGCCAUUGUUGAGUCGGAUGACCACACCCAGAUUGGCAUUUGUUUGGGCGGUAUGUACCCGAGUAGCUGCAAUCAGUGCAGUUUCCAUUGGCAUGGACAGUCCAGUAUCUUCCAAUAUUCUUCCCGUUUAUCCAUACUUGACCCUUCUGCAUACUACUCAUGUCUAAAGCCAAAGGUUCGUCUCCUUCGGGCACAUUGAAAUAAGCCUGCAAGUUGAAGCAAAAUAGUGUCAACAAUGGUUCUCGAAUCUGAACGAUGAUGAGAGUUAUAGACUCUGUAGAAGAAUGAAGAAUUCUAGUUCUUCAGAACCAUUGCAGUCAAGCUUCAACCAUGUACCUUAUACCAAGUAAGCGGCUGUGUGUUUUCUUUUACCGAUGAAUCCCAUACCCAAUCAACUGCUGGAAUAGAGCUUAGAGAACCCAAGUUCAUGGCUUCUCCUUCCAGACCAACCUGUCAAACAGGAAAAACAUAAGGAAACUAGUGGAGUGCAUAGAAACACUGAGAAAUGUGGUUGCAUUUGCAGACCUUAUAUGACCAUGUCUGUCUAGAUAAGUCCAUCGUUCCCUUGUCCAGCCCAUGUAUAGCAACUGGUCCAAGCACUCCCAUUUCUCUCAUCUCAAAAUGAGGACCGUUGUUCUUCAUCCACCAACAAGGAAAAGAACAUCAAACAAAGAUAAACCAGAGUUGUGACAAACUUCAUUUAGAUUAAGAUUUUUCAUUUUCGUGAGAUUAGAGCCCUAAGUAUAACAUUCUUAGCAACCAUGAGAAGAGAGUUGCAUAAAGAAGAUGGACUGUUUGUUUCAAGUCUGAUUUCAGAAUUCUGAUCAGGUAAUUUACUUCUAGGAAUUGAUUAGUGAAUCAUAGUUCAUAUGAUCAGGGACUAGAAAACUAACUGGCAAUCCAGCAGCCAUGCUUAACAGAGAAACUCUGUUUACUCCAGCUUGCAACUGAAUUCUUCCCGUGAACUUAAAUUUACUGCUGUCAUGGUUCCCGAAGCUCGAUCCUGCGUUGAGGAAAGGUAUUGCCUAAUCAGAAUCAGCUCGGCAGAAAGGCAUACACAAAAGCAUAGAAGUUGAGGUAAGAGAUUCGAUGAUUCACCAGUUAGCUUUCCAUUAAUGAAUACAUGCAUGCCAUGACCAGUUGAUCCCGCAACGAGAGUAGGAAGCCUCCCUCCACGCAGGAAGGAUUCGUUUGAAUCUACCUUGACACUGGAAAAAUCCAGGUAAUAAAUAUGUUUUCAUUAUGUAAUCGUUCUCUAUGUUAUAUAUAUAAUCUAAGCACCAUUUUUACCUGGUUGUAUACCAAAGAUAGUCGGUGGUGUCUCUAGUGAUGUUUAGUUGCUCCAAAAGACCACCAUAUGACAUCAAUGGACCAUCUUCAAUCGAAGAUAUGUCUUCAUUAAAAGUCUCCCACGAAAACGGUUCAACAUUCGUCGGUGAAAAUGACAUCUGGUUUAUUUGAACUUCAACCUGGAGCAUGAAGAAUUAGGAUUUACCUUGGAUCAUUCAAGUAGUCUUGACCAAACUAUCUUAUGGAGUGAUUCGAAUCAUGAGUUUAGAAACAAUUUUUCUUUACGCUUGAUCUUGAUCAUCGAGAUGAAGUCCAAUGAUAGUUCGAUAGAAAAGCGGCGCAAUCUCCUGAGCUAGAAGAGAAUACCUUUGCCUGAAACAUGUCAAGAUUCAAUCA